rfam:Bombyx mori DNA, contig: Bm_scaf3_contig3048, strain: p50T/Dazao, build 2, whole genome shotgun sequence.
UCAAGUCAAAUUUGUAUGGAGUUGGGACAUUUGGCUACGUUUGCCGCUAGGGGCGCUGUUCCAACUGCAUACAAAUUAGAGUUA